rnacentral:rRNA from 1 species
AUUGAACGCUGGCGGCAGGCUUAACACAUGCAAGUCGAGCGAGCGGCGGACGGGUGAGUAAUGUCUGGGAAACUGCCUGAUGGAGGGGGAUAACUACUGGAAACGGUAGCUAAUACCGCAUACCAUCAGAUGUGCUCAGAUGGGAUUAGCUAGUAGGUGGGGUAAUGGCUCACCUAGGCGACGAUCCCUAGCUGGUCUGAGAGGAUGACCAGCCACACUGGAACUGAGACACGGUCCAGACUCCUACGGGAGGCAGCAGUAGGGAAUAUUGGAAAAUGGGCGCAAGCCUGAUGCAGACAUGCCGCGUGAGUGAAGAAGGCCUUCGGGUUGUAAAGCACUUUCAGCGGAGAAGCGUUACUCGCAGAAGAAGCACCGGCUAACUCCGUGCCAGCAGCCGCGGUAAUUC